GACGAACGCUGGCGGCGUGCUUAACACAUGCAAGUCGAACGGAAAGGCCCCUUUGGGGGUACUCGAGUGGCGGACGGGCGAGUAACACGUGCGUAACCUGCCCUUGCCUUCGGGUUAACUAAAGGAAACUGGGGCUAAUACAGGCUAGGAAUCCUUGCUGCAUGGAGGGGGUUGGAAAGAUUUGGCGGGUUUGGAUGGACUCGCGGGCUAUCAGCUUGUUGGUGGGGUAGGGGGUUACCAAGGCUUUCACGGGUAGGCGGCCUGGGGGGGGGACCGGCCACAAUGGGGCUGAGAUACGGCCCAGACUCCUACGGGGGGCAGCAGGGGGGAAUAUUGCACAAAGGGCGGGAGCCUGAUGCAGCAACGCCGCGGGCGGGAAGACGGCCUUCGGGUUGGAAACCGCUUUCAGCAGGGGCGAAGCUUGUGGUGACGGUACCUGCAGAAGAAGCACCGGCUAACUACGUG
rnacentral:rRNA from 1 species